rnacentral:rRNA from 1 species
UACGAAGGGGACUAGCGUUGUUCGGAUUUACUGGGCGUAAAGUGUGCGCAGGCGGCCGAGCAAGUCGAGUGUGAAAGCCCCGAGCUUAACUUGGGAACUGCGCUCGAAACUACUUGGCUAGAGUGUGGCAGAGGGAGGUGGAAUUCCACGUGUAGCGGUGAAAUGCGUAGAGAUGUGGAGGAACACCGAUGGCGAAGGCAGCCUCCUGGGCCAACACUGACGCUCAUGCACGAAAGCGUGGGGAGCAAACAGG